rnacentral:ncRNA from 1 species
GGAGAGCGUCUGUUGUACAUCAACACUAGAUACUGCUAAUACCGCUGUAGAGGUAUAGUAUAUAAUCCCUGCCCGGUACAGUAACAUGUAAACGGCGGCUGUAUUAUGACGGUCCAAAGGUAGGAAAAUCCUUGUCGGGUAAUUAUCGUCGUGCGUGAAAGUUGGUACGACUCUUC